UACGUAGGGUGCGAGCGUUGUCCGGAAUUACUGGGCGUAAAGCGUGCGCAGGCGGUUGUGCAAGACAGAUGUGAAAUCCCCGGGCUUAACCUGGGAAUUGCAUUUGUGACUGUACGGCUAGAGUGUGUCAGAGGGGGGUAGAAUUCCACGUGUAGCAGUGAAAUGCGUAGAGAUGUGGAGGAAUACCGAUGGCGAAGGCAGCCCCCUGGGAUAACACUGACGCUCAUGCACGAAAGCGUGGGGAGCAAACAGG
rnacentral:rRNA from 1 species